rnacentral:rRNA from 1 species
UACGAAGGGGGCUAGCGUUGUUCGGAUUUACUGGGCGUAAAGCGCACGUAGGCGGAUCGUUAAGUGAGGGGUGAAAUCCCAGGGCUCAACCCUGGAACUGCCUUUCAUACUGGCGAUCUUGAGUUCGGGAGAGGUGAGUGGAACUGCGAGUGUAGAGGUGAAAUUCGUAGAUAUUCGCAAGAACACCAGUGGCGAAGGCGGCUCACUGGCCCGAUACUGACGCUGAGGCACGAAAGCGUGGGGAGCAAACAGG